rnacentral:rRNA from 1 species
CGAUGACCUGGAGCUUGCUCUAGGGAAUUAGUGGCGAACGGGUGAGUAACACGUGAGUAACCUGCCCUUGACUCUGGGAUAACCUCCGGAAACGGAAGCUAAUACCGGAUAUGACGCACGGAGGCAUCUCCUGUGCGUGGAAAGAACUUCGGUCAAGGAUGGACUCGCGGCCUAUCAGGUAGUUGGUGAGGUAACGGCCCACCAAGCCUACGACGGGUAGCCGGCCUGAGAGGGUGACCGGCCACACUGGGACUGAGACACGGCCCAGACUCCUACGGGAGGCAGCAGUGGGGAAUAUUGCACAAUGGGCGAAAGCCUGAUGCAGCAACGCCGCGUGAGGGAUGACGGCCUUCGGGUUGUAAACCUCUUUUAGUAGGGAAGAAGCGAAAGUGACGGUACCUGCAGAAAAAGCACCGGCUAACUACGUGCCAGCAGCCGCGGUAAUACGUAGGGUGCGAGCGUUGUCCGGAAUUAUUGGGCGUAAAGAGCUCGUAGGCGGUCUGUCGCGUCUGCUGUGAAAACCCGAGGCUCAACCUCGGGCUUGCAGUGGGUACGGGCAGACUAGAGUGCGGUAGGGGAGAAUGGAAUUCCUGGUGUAGCGGUGGAAUGCGCAGAUAUCAGGAGGAACACCGAUGGCGAAGGCAGUUCUCUGGGCCGUAACUGACGCUGAGGAGCGAAAGCGUGGGGAGCGAACAGGAUUAGAUACCCUGGUAGUCCACGCCGUAAACGUUGGCGCUAGAUGUGGGGACCAUUCCACGGUUUCG